UACGUAGGGUGCGAGCGUUACUCGGAAUUACUGGGCGUAAAGCGUGCGCAGGCGGCGCGUUAAGACAGGUGUGAAAGCCCCGAGCUUAACUUGGGAAUUGCGCUUGUGACUGGCGUGCUGGAGUGUGGCAGAGGGAGGUGGAAUUCCACGUGUAGCAGUGAAAUGCGUAGAGAUGUGGAGGAACACCGAUGGCGAAGGCAGCCUCCUGGGCCAGCACUGACGCUCAUGCACGAAAUCGUGGGGAGCAAACAGG
rnacentral:rRNA from 1 species